rnacentral:tmRNA from 4 species
GGGGACGACUGGUUUUGACAGCGAGAUUAGUGAAAAUGUAAGCAUACCGAGGAGUGAAAUGAUAACUCGUUAAACUUAUUUCAAACAUUUAAACGGCGAAGAUAACUACGCUUUAGCUGCAUAAUCUGAAUUAACAGUAAGAUUUGCCUCGGCGCACAAGGUGCGCAAGCUAAAUGUCCACGAAAAGCCUUGGUUUACGGCGUUUCAUUUUUGGGCAUCGUAAAAGUAAACAUAGAGAACUUAGAGCUUCGAUAGGUUUUCGAAACUAAAGAAGAUAAGUUAAGAUUGGGCAGUUUUUGGUCAGGUCUUAAUCGAAAAUUAAACAAAAACUAAGUAUGUAGAAAGCUUUUGAGCUACUUGUUUGGACCCGAGUUCGAUUCUCGGCGUCUCCACAA